rnacentral:rRNA from 1 species
GAUGAACGCUAGCGGGAGGCCUAACACAUGCAAGCCGAGCGGUAUUGUUUCUUCGGAAAUGAGAGAGCGGCGUACGGGUGCGGAACACGUGUGCAACCUGCCUUUAUCUGGGGGAUAGCCUUUCGAAAGGAAGAUUAAUACUCCAUAAUAUAUUGAACGGCAUCGUUUAAUAUUGAAAGCUCCGGCGGAUAGAGAUGGGCACGCGCAAGAUUAGCUAGUUGGUGAGGUAACGGCUCACCAAGGCAAUGAUCUUUAGGGGGCCUGAGAGGGUGAUCCCCCACACUGGUACUGAGACACGGACCAGACUCCUACGGGAGGCAGCAGUGAGGAAUAUUGGUCAAUGGGUGCAAGCCUGAACCAGCCAUCCCGCGUGAAGGACGACUGCCCUAUGGGUUGUAAACUUCUUUUGUAUAGGGAUAAACCUUUCCACGUGUGGAAAGCUGAAGGUACUAUACGAAUAAGCACCGGCUAACUCCGUGCCAGCAGCCGCAGUAAAAC